UUCCUACGGGAGGCAGCAGUGAGGAAUAUUGGACAAUGGUCGAGAGACUGAUCCAGCCAUGCCGCGUGCAGGAAGACGGCCCUAUGGGUUGUAAACUGCUUUUUUACGGGAAGAAUAAUGCCCACGUGUGGGCAGAUGACGGUACCGUAGGAAUAAGGACCGGCUAACUCCGUGCCAGCAGCCGCGGUAAUACGGAGGGUCCGAGCGUUAUCCGGAAUCAUUGGGUUUAAAGGGUCCGCAGGCGGGUCAGUAAGUCAGGGGUGAAAGUUUGCGGCUUAACCGUAAAAUUGCCUUUGAUACUGCUGGUCUUGAGUUGCGGUGAAGUGGCUGGAAUAUGUGGUGUAGCGGUGAAAUGCAUAGAUAUCACAUAGAACACCGAUUGCGAAGGCAGGUCACUAACCGCCGACUGACGCUGAUGGACGAAAGCGUGGGGAGCGAACGGGAUUAGAUACCCCGGUAGUCCACGCCGUAAACGAUGGACACUAGCUGUCGGGCCUUUAUAGGUUCGGUGGCCAAGCGAAAGUGAUAAGUGUCCCACCUGGGGAGUACGUCGGCAACGAUGAAACUCAAAUGAAUUGACGGAA
rnacentral:rRNA from 1 species